UAACUCUGGAGAGUCUCCCUUGAGGAGCGCCGAAGGUGUACGGCGGUUUUUCCGUCUAUCUCUCAGGCAAAAGGACAGGGCAU
rnacentral:ncRNA from 1 species